UACGUAGGGGGCAAGCGUUGUCCGGAUUUAUUGGGCGUAAAGAGCGUGUAGGCGGCCAGGUAGGUCAGCUGUGAAAACUCGAGGCUCAACCUCGAGACGUCGGUUGAAACCAUCUGGCUAGAGUCCGGAAGAGGAGAGUGGAAUUCCUGGUGUAGCGGUGAAAUGCGCAGAUAUCAGGAGGAACACCGAUGGCGAAGGCAGGUCUCUGGGCAUUAACUGACGCUGAGGAGCGAAAGCAUGGGGAGCGAACAGG
rnacentral:rRNA from 1 species